rnacentral:rRNA from 1 species
UGAGGAAUCUUGCGCAAUGGGGGAAACCCUGACGCAGCAACGCCGCGUGAGUGAAGAAGGCCUUCGGGUCGUAAAGCUCUGUCAGAUGGGAAGAAAUGGAUGGGGGCUAAUAUCGUCCAUCCUUGACGGUACCAUCAGAGGAAGCACCGGCUAACUCCGUGCCAGCAGCCGCGGUAAUACGGGGGGUGCAAGCGUUGUUCGGAAUCAUUGGGCGUAAAGCGCGCGCAGGCGGCUUGGUAAGUCAGGUGUGAAAUCUCGGGGCUUAACCCCGAAACUGCGCUUGAAACUAUCUGACUGGAGUUUUGGAGGGGUAAGCGGAAUUCUAGGUGUAGCGGUGAAAUGCGUAGAUAUCUAGAGGAACACCAACGGCGAAGGCAGCUUACUGGCCAAAAACUGACGCUCAUGCACGAAAGCGUGGGGAGCAAAAA